UGGGGAAGCCGCCUGCGAGAGAGCGCCGGGAAAUAUAGCGGCAUUCCGCCGUUUCCGACUCUUCUCUCUCCCCCCCGCUUUCCUGCUCCGCGCCCCCUUCCCAUCUCCGGCAACUAGGCUUACCCGCGACGACACAGUUCGCUCUCCUACGCCAGCCAGCCACCACACCGCCCGCCUCCGCCGGUACUCGAGGUCGCCCAGCAGCGGCGCCUCUGCCGCAACGCAGCCCCAAACCCCCAAUCCCCCCGCCGCGGCCUCACCUGCGCCGGUGCUCCUUGCCGCCCUAGACGCGGCAGAUCUCCAAGCUCCCCACCGCAGCGGUGCCGCAGAGGUAGAGGUCUUGUUCUAACCAUCACACACACUAAGUCAGAAAAUUUCUAGGCUUGCUUGAGGAUAAGGAGUGGCUGUGUGUCAUAGAGCCACGUCCUUGUGGCUCUCGGAGACUCUACUCUCUCUGAGAGUUCAAUUGGAGUUGAGGUAAGAAUCUGAAACAUAGUCAACUUGGGCAGUCAAAUGAUUUCAGUUUUGUAUUUGGAUAACUUGUUUUUCUUACUUCUGCGGACUCUGCUAACCAUCCUCGUAGCUAAGUAAUACUAUGUUGUAAUGUUUUUAUUUGUAAGAGAUGUCUCUACUACCGAGCGAACAAGGUGGUGAAAUAAAAAGCAAGUCAUAGUGCCAUCUCUGCCCUCUCUCUCAAUCAAGUUUAACAAACGAAAUUAUCUUAUCAGUCAUCUGUAUAAGCAUUGAUAGUGUUAUAUCUCAACUCAUCAUAGUGCAGUUCCCUAGCAAUGCAUGGGUACAUUAGUUACUAUUCUUUUGAGAAGAUGCCAAAUUGAUUUGGUUGUUGCAAAUGUAUGUGCAAGUCUUGUUCUAACCAUCACGCACACUAAGUCGGAAAAUUUCUAGGCUGGCUUGAGGUUUGCGUCUUCUACCUAUAUUAUUUUCCUUACAUUCUUGGAUAAAUUUUUCUCACAGGGAGUGAUUUUGUUCUCAGGAUAAGGAGAGACUGUGUGUCAUAGAGCCACGUCCUCGCGGCACUCGGAGACUCCACUCUCUGUGAGACUUCAAUCGGAGUUGUUGUCUUGUUCUAACCAUCACACACACUAAGUCGGAAAAUUUCUAGGCUUGCUUGAGGAUAAGGAGUGGCUGUGUGUCAUAGAGCCACGUCCUUGUGGCUCUCGGAGACUCUACUCUCUCUGAGAGUUCAGUUGGAGUUGAGGUCUUGUUCCAUCACGCACACUAAGUCGGAAAAUUUCUAGGCUGGCUUGAGGAUAAGGAGAGACUGUGUGUCAUAGAGCCACGUCCUCGCGGCACUCGGAGACUCCACUCUCUGUGAUACUUCAAUCGGAGUUGUUGUAAGAAUCUGAAACGUAGUCAACUUGGACAGUCAAAUGAUUUCAGUUUUGUAUUUGGGUACCUUGUUUUUUUACUUCUACGGACUGAUAACCAUCCUCGUAGCUAAGUAAUACUAUGUUGUAAUGUGUUUAUUUGUAAGAGAUGUCUGUACUACCCAGCAAACAAGGUGGUGAAAUAAAAGCAAGUCAUAGUGCUCUCUCUCCAGAUCAAGUUUAAAAAGUGAAAUUAUCUUAUCAGUCAUCUGUAUAAGCAUUGAUAGUGUUAUAUCUCAACUCCUCAUAGUGCAGCUCCCUAGCAAAGCAUGGGUACAUUAGUUACUAUUCUUUUGAGAAGAUGCCUGAUUGAUUUGGUUAUUGCAAGUGUACGUGCAGGUGUUGUUCUAACCAUCACACACACUAAGCCGGAAAAUUUCUAGGCUGGCUUGAGGAUAAGGGGUGACUGUGUGUCACAGAGCCAUGUCUCGUGGCUGUCCGAGCCUCCACUCUCUCUGAGACUUCAAUUGAUGUUGAGGUUGGAAUAUAGUGAGCACUAAACUCAUGUUUUUGCCAAGUUCUUUUGAACAAAGGUUAAACGUGAGAAUGGAAUUCCUUGUCAAGAAUGGUUCAUGGAAUAUGAGAACGGAACUCCCGUUUUUAUAUUUCAAUCAAGUUAUCAAGAAUGUUUGGGGACCAUGUUAUUUGUUAAAUGACUGGUACACCAUAGACCACGAGGAUGGAACUCUUGGUUGUCUCAAGCAAUUAAGCAAGAAUUAUUGGAGUCUUGGAGAUCAUGUUCUUUGGAGAUAUACCAUGAGAAUCAAACUCUUUUUAUUAUCUUAGCGGUCAUCUUGCAAGGCAAUGUUUUCAAGCCAAUACAUGAACAAGUUUUAGGCCCUGUUUGAUAACAAAGUAUUUUCUAUGUAUUUUGUGAAUACUACAGUUUUUUAGAUUACCACAGUAUUAA